GAAUCGUAUGCGCUUGAUGAGAAAUGUACCAACUGUCUUCUUGAGUUUGAUAGGUGGAAGAUCCUUAGCUAGGAGGAAUUUCAUCUCAAGUCCACCAUGCUGAAAGGAAUAUGUAUUCUCAUAACCAUAGUGCUUGGCUUUCUUGUCAUACAACCAUGGGCGUCCCAAAAGAAUGUGACAGACCUUCAAAGG